CCUACGGGAGGCUGCAGUAAGGAAUAUUGGACAAUGCCCGCAAGGGUGAUCCAGCCAUGCCGCGUGCAGGAAGACGGCCCUAUGGGUUGUAAACUGCUUUUGUACCGGAGAAAACCCCCCUACGUGUAGGGGGCUGAUAGUAUGGUAAGAAUAAGCAUCGGCUAACUUCGUGCCAGCAGCCGCGGUAAGACGAAGGAUGCAAGCGUUAUCCGGAUUCAUUGGGUUUAAAGGGAGCGUAGGUGGUCUUCUAAGUCAGUGGUGAAAUCUCUCGGCUUAACUGAGAAAUUGCCAUUGAUACUGGAGGACUUGAGUGUAGUUGCCGUUGGCGGAAUAUGACAUGUAGUGGUGAAAUACAUAGAGAUGUCAUAGAACACCGAUUGCGAAGGCAGCUAACGAAACUAUAACUGACACUGAGGCUCGAAAGUGCGGGGAUCAAACAG
rnacentral:rRNA from 1 species